GGAAGAAGGUGGCGCCAUCGGGCUCGUGCUCUGCUCGAGUGGGUAUUUUGGAUAUCUGGCACGGGCCUUAUAGCUUCUGCAAAAUGCCUCGGGUGUAAAGGGGCCAACUAUUAUGGGGUACUGGGACCCCGCCGCAACGGGGUGGACAGACCGACCGCUGUGGAGAGUUCGUCAGGGCGGUUAACGCGGGGGACAAAGCACGCUGGACCGACAAUCUUUACAUACAAGAUAGCCAGCAACAGACAUCAAGAGGCUUGUUUUCAACUCAGCUGCAGAGGAGGCGGCACUGUUUGCAUGAUUAAAGGGAGAGCUUGGUGUGUAAGGUCUUCCGAGUGUGAGGGACAUUUUAGUCAGACAAGUUAGCAAUUGCCGUGAUUUUGAUACCAAGGAACCGUAUCUAUGGAGAUAUUAUCUACAAAAAGAGGAUCCGGUCAUCCCGACCCAGUAACAGAGCGGGUUCAGUCGGAAUAAAUCAAUUGGUUAAUCUCUUUUAUUUUUGUCCGCCGGGCGGCGAUGUCAGUUUUCUGCCUAGAUUUGCACACAUCUACCGCCGCGAUUUCAGCACCACCCGAACUGGACAGCGACUGCAUGGCGCACCUGCUAGAUCAGGGCAACAAAACCCCACAAGAAACGGGAGGAUUUCAGGGCCACUCGCUGCUACAUACCGACUCUGGAGGCCUCGGGAUGGCGUUGGAAGAAGAAUUAGCCAUGCUUACCGGGGAGCAGGACGAGGAGGAGGAGGAAGAGUUAUCCGAAUUGGAGACGCCUGUAAUGGGACAGAAUACAGACUUUUUGUUGCUCUUCCGUCAAAAGGAGAGGGACUUGGUUUUAGCUGCUAAACUCGGCAAGGCACUGCUAGAGCGAAACCAAGACCUGACUAAGCAAUAUGAGAAAAUGAACAAAGAUCUUAACGAUAAACUUGAGCACCUGGAGCAGGAGAAGCACGAGCUGCGGCGGCGGCUGGAGAACAAGGAGGGGGAGUGGGGGGACCGUGUGGCGGAGCUGGAGACAGACGUCCAGCAGCUGCAGGGAGAGCUGGAGCGCCAUCAGGUCCAGCUGAGAGAAGCCGACCGUGACAAGUCCACGGCCAUCAGGGAGCUGUCAGAGCAAAACCACCGCCUGCUGGAGCAGCUCAACCGGGCUACAGAGGUGGAGAGGCAGCUGUCCACUCAGGUCCACUCGUUACGGGAUGACUUCAGAGAGAAGAGCAUCUCCACCAACCAGCACAUGACACGACUAGAGAGCCUACAGGCUGAGCAAGGGCUGGAAAUUAAGAUGCUGUCGGAGCGUAAGAGAGAGCUGGAGGAUCAGGUUAACGCCGUACUAGAGGAAAACGAGCUACUGCAGAACACUGUUGACGACCUGAGGGAAGGGACGCUAGUGCUGGAGAAACAGUACCACGAGAAGGUCUCACAGUUACGGCAGAGCCAGCUGGAGCUCCAGGAGGUACGGGUGUCCCACAGGCAUCUGAGUGCCCGCUUUGAGGAGUUCACAGAGGAGAGAAGUCUACAAGGCCUCAGCCCAAACCCUGCCAGCCUACUCUGUGAGAUAGAACAGAGCAUGGAGCAAGAGGAGCAGGAACAGGAGAGGGAGCAGCUGCGUCUCCAGCUGUGGGAAGCCUACUGCCAGGUGCGCUCUCUCGUCUCCCACCUGCGAGGCAACGACAUCACAGACUCGGCCCUGUCCACAGACUCCUCCAUGGACGAGUCCUCUGAGACAUCCUCAGCCAAGGACGUUCCCAUGGGGAGCCUACAUGCCAGUCUACUGGAGCUACGCAGACUCACACAGAACCUGCUAGACGGCAAUGAGUCCACGGGUUCUCGGCGGAGUGACGAGGAGGCUCUAGAGGACCAGGUUCGAAAGCUUGGGGAAGAGCUGAGAGGAGUGAGAGAGCUGUACCAAACAGAGCAGGAUAGAACACGGAACAGCCAAGAAGAGGUUCUACAACUCCAUAAUCAGAUGGCGACGUUUUCUGUGGAGAUGUGCUCUGUACAGGAGGAGAGUGAGCGCAUGAGGGCCAUGUCUGAAGCACGAGACCCCAGUGAACAGCUCCAAAGUGCUAUACAAGACCGAGACGACGCUAUUUCCAAGAAGAAAGUGGUGGAGACGGAGCUGGCCAAGUGUAAGAUAGAUAUCAUGUCUCUGAACAGCCAGCUCCUGGACGCCAUCCAGCAGAAGCUGAACCUAUCACAGCAGCUGGAGGCCUGGCAGUUUGCAUCCUCAGGGCUCUUUACUGUGUGGCUCUUGUGGUUUCUGAUCUAGUGGCCUUUCUCAGCUUCCGUACCACCCUUUCUCCCCUGUGGUACCCCCCUCCUGCCUUAGAGGAUGAUAUGCACAGUAUGAUUGAUCAGCAGCUCAUGGAAAAGCACCAGGAGGAGUGGAGGGUGACCCCCUACUCCCUCGCUGGGUCCUCCGGGGGCCCCUCCGGCCAGUCCUCCAGACGAGCCCAUCGCCUCUCCGAUGGAGACAAGUGGCUCUUUUCCUUCUUCAAAAAGAACUGAGCGCCUCUGGACUGGCCCGAGUAGGCAAGAGAGAGAGAAAAAUAAUAAUUCAAAUAGAGUGCAGAGGUAGAGGAAAAUAAAGGCAAAGACUGAGUGGCAGUGAUACACACUAUCAGAUGGGGGGGGCUAAAGAUGUUCAAGGGUCAUUUUGCACUUUAUCUGUCCCAUCAUGUCCUACCUUAAAGAUGUUGAAACAGAGAAUUAAGGCACUUAAAGAAGGAGUGAGCAACACUGUUAGGGCUCACUCACACCAGUAGUGCUUUCUGGCCGAGAGUACUUGGCACCUCUGAACGUAAUUUGAGAACCGAGUGCGCACCGGUUUUACAUGUGGGAAAUGUCGGCAGUCAGACAUCUAUAGCGGGUGGUCCCUAAAACACAGUGCACUGAACGAUCGACAGAUGAACGCUAGAUCCACAUUAGACCCACAUUCAGUGUGAUGUGUGCGAGCGCUUACACAUCCAAAGGCCUUGGCUCCCAUCCCAUAAACACCCAUUUGGCUUACAUAUAUUUCAAAGAGGACGGUUCCCUAGCAGUGCCGCCCAGUGUCUCUACCCCACUUCCAAAACCCCAGACUGGGAGUGUACGUAUACAGUAGGGCUGGCUCCUGUGCCCUGCCACAUGCCAAGGUGUCUGGGGAGGGUGUUCAAUACGGGACUCACCAAGGCGUUGGGGUGGAGGGAUUAGGGCAGUGGGACAGGGAUCUGGGUAAGGGAAAAUUAAUUGAGGGACAAGAACCAGCCUCUGGGUGGGAAGCAGCAUUGUUACAGCUAACUCUGACAUGUUCUCAGGUUUAUUCAUAUAUUCAGGGAUUUACAAAGAGGCCUUAUUCCCAAUCAAUCCAAUGGAUGGAUUUCUUUCGGUUGGUAUGCACUUCACAAUUAUGGUCGUGCCAUAGCAUUGGUUAAUAGAGUUAACACAACACACCAAAUGUCCAUCCUUGAAUAUCACUGAAGUAUAAAUGAAUAGAUCAAGCCACAGUAAAUCCAUAAACAUAGCACUUUAUGCAUAUCAAUCAUAAGUUUACCUCAAAUACUCAAUACUAACUGAGCAACCAGUGCAUGACCAAGGGAGAGUUACAUUUACCAAGCACUGAAUGUAUGAAAACCAGCCUAUCUAAAGUGAUUAUAGGACUGUUUCAGGUCCAUGGACAUUUCUACACAGGCCUCUUGUCAGUCUCUGACGUCUGAAUAAAUCUCUGGGCCGCUGGCGUUAGCUGCAGCCUCUAUCCAGGUGGGCUUUUUCUACAGUUAAGAAUGUCACGUUUUGCGUACGUUUGACGUACAAAAAGUAUUUUCAAACAUUGUCUGUACAAUGGCCAUCAUCAUGUAUAUUCCUCCUAGCUGACCAAAUCCUCCGAACUGUUUACAUUAGUUUGAGAAAGGAGAAGUCUAAACGGUCUCUCAAUACGUCUGCAGUGCCUAACUUUGGCAAGUCAAAGGCAUCCAUAUUGUGCUACAGUUAAUUGUCAAAUUACCAUUAAUUGGAACACAAAUGUAGAUGAUAUUGAUUUAGUAACCUACUCAGUCAGGUACCACCAAUCCAGUUUCACAGGUAAACCUAUUGACAGGGCCUACAGAGUGCUUUAGCUAUACUAUCACAGUAAUAUAGAAGGUCUACUGCCAUUCCCAUUGGUUCAAAGUUUAUGAUAGUGGACACUUCAUUUUCAAGCUUCCAUAAUGGCCAGACAAACAGUCACCUCCAAAAUGAUUGGCACCCUUGAUAAAGAUGAGCAAAAAAUACAGUAUAAAAUGAAUAAUACAAAAAUUGUUUGCUCAAUAAUUGUGAAAAUAUAUUAUUUUGUAGAAAAUAUUUUGUUCAACAAGUAAUUAACAAAAAAUCUCAAAAAGAUAGGUGUCGGAAUUAUUGGCACUAUUUUCAAUGCGUUGUGCACCCUCUUGUGAGGAUAACAGCACUUAUCCUUUUUCUAUAAUAUUUUAUGAGACCAUUCCUCCAUACAGGAUCAUUCCAGGACCUUGAAAGAUUCAUCCACAUUUUACAGUAGGUACAAGGUUCUUUUCUGCAUAUGCAUCCUUCAUUCGAGGCCAAACCCACCACUGGUGUGCGUGGCCAAAGAGCUCAGUUUUAAUCUCAUUCAACCAUAGCACCCGGUUCCUAUUCAAGGGCCAAUGCCAUUUAACAAACUCCAGGCAUUUACAUUUGUUGGUUGCUCUCAAUAAAGGAAGUGGCGUUUAAUUGUAUAUUUGGAGACUUGGUGACCCCAAGACGCGACCAAGUUCGGUCAUUCUCCAACUGUGGCCCUUGGACUUUUUUUUGCCUCCCAAACCGUCUUCCUCAAUGUGCGUAGUACAAAAUACACUUGGGUCUUACCAGGCAAGUUUACCACUGUUCCAGUGGUUUUAAACGUAUUCAUUGUGCCCAUAAUAGUGGUAUAUUGGAGUUUUCAGUCGUUUUUUUGUACCAUUGCCUGAUUUAUGAAAGUCAACAGCCAUUUGCCUUUCCUCAUGGUGAUGGAUGACAAAGGGAUUUUACAUGUUUGUUACCUCAUUUUUCUACCCCAGUGAAACAGGAAGCCAUGGAAGGCCACAACACAGUUCCUUUAACUGAGAUUAACUUAAACAAGUAGAAUGAUAAUGCAAUCUUUAGGGGUGCCAAUCAUUUUGACACAUAAUUAUUUAUUUUUUUACUGGAGCAAUAUUGUAUUAGUAUGUUCCUUUUUUGCAUACAAUAUAGCUUAGUAUUUGUUUUAUUUACACAUGUUUUUUGCUCAUCUUUAUCAAGGGUGCCAAUCAUUUUGGAGGUGACUGUAUCUGUGACUCCAUAUUUGUAGAGUGUGUGUGUCGAUAAAUGUGAUGCGUCUGAACUGUCCCGGCGUGUUUAAGAAGGAGACUGGCACAGUCCUCGGACCUCUGUCUAUGUAUGGAAAGUCAUAUCUAGAGCCCCUGCGCAAACCUAUGCAGAUGUCUUCUCGCCAUCUCAGUUGGUAAGGUUGUUGGUUAGGAUCAACCCAAAGAAUUAUUAUUUUUAAAGAGUUGAGAGUAGGUUUGGAUGAAAUCAAUAUAUUUAUAAAUGCAUACCUUUUUCAAUGGAAAUCUCGUAUUUUUUGUUGUUUUAAAAAACUUUCAUUGCUCACGUAUUUUUAUUUUGUGUUUUGAGUGUUUACAUGCAAAUUGGGAUCUCUGCGGAAAGGGAGGGGAGGGGUGAUGUGGAGGAGGGUGAAGAUUAUAAGUUCUACAUGUGACUGUUCAGUUCUGUCUUUGUAAUAAGUCAUUCUAACUUUCACGUAAUUCACUGAAUGUUGUCGAAGUUUGAGUUAUACUCAAGUCUACCGAUUUUUUUGAUUCAGAGGUUGUCAUCAGGGUUGGGUUCAAUUCGAAUUGAGAGCAGUCAAUUCAGGAGGUAAACUACAAUUACAGUUUAAAUAAUCAAAAGAAGGGCAGUUAUUUUCAAUGACUUCUCAAUAAAUUGAAAAAAAGUUCAAGCUAUUUAUUUCAAAAGUUUUUACAUUUAAUAAUUCAAAAUCACUUCCUGAAUUGACUACCUUCAAUUUGAAUUGAGCCCAGCCAGGCUGCAAAAACAAACUCAUUAUCUAGAUAAAAGAGCGAUGUCUGCCUUUCUGUCUGUUGUCUAAGCAAGUGUGGGUUGGGCAGGGGUCCAGGUGGGUCGUUAGCUUACAUUUUUAGUGCAUUGCAAAAUUAUAAAUUAUAAAUUAUAUUUUAUAUAUAUAUAUAUAUAUAUAUAUAUAUAUAUAUACACACAUUUUGGGGAAUGGAAAAACACUUUGAGUGUAAACUUUAACAACUAAAACCAAAUAGAAAGUAUGUAGAAAAGAUAAGGGACCUAUAUAUUUUUAAUAAUACUCUAGUCUUUGAGAACUUGGAAUCAACAAAAUAAAAGCCCCCAUUGAUUUUGUUAUAAUGUUUGAGCAUAUGAACACAGCAUUAGCCAUGUCCAAAUGUGUAGAAUUGCAGAAUAUUUGCAGUAAAAACUGCAAAACAUUUCUGUCAGCUCCAUGGCAAAAUGUAUAGAAUUGCAGAAAGAUUGGCUUUAAAACAGCAAUAUUCGAUUAGGCUCCAUGAAGAAUUGCAGGAAAUUAGUUUUAAAAUGGCAUUUUAUUUCAUCUCCAUGGCAAGAUGUAUAGAAUUGCAGGACAUUUGGUCUGUAUGUUUUUGCACCGCUCAACCCUUAGGGUGGGUCGCGACUCAAAAGACACCUCAAUUAGUGGGUCAUGAAGUAAAAAGGUUUGGGAAUCCGUGUCUAAGCAGCUGUGGUGUUGUAUUGAUCUGAGAAGGAUGGUUAAGUGGGUCUAACACCAGGAGCCAGUCAGCUCUGAUAGGCACUGACUAGCUGCAUGAUUAUAGUGGAUAUUAAGCCAACCACACACAGUUAGACUGCAGCCUCAGAACUGAGUGAUGACAAGUUAUUCUGCAUGCUAAAUUAGGGUUGGUUGAACCUGGAUCAAACAUGAACUUAUAUUACGAACGGGAUCAAACAACACUUAUGACCAGAAUGUAAGUUUUCUCAUGUAGUAAUUUGUAAUGUAACAGGCCAGAGGUCUUGAACUCAGCCUCAUGGCCUGUUGUCACCAGAGGGGUAUACUACGAAGUAAAUUCCAUGGCUUAGGCAGCUAAUUUGGCAACCAAAUAUUCUGAAAUAACUCACACAAAAAAAUAGAAAGAUGAGCAUAAAAUGGGCACAGUCUAAUUAACUUAACCAAAAACACAUAUCUAAGAUUUGCUUUCUUAAUGGAGCAGAAAAUCAAUAGUUAUUUGUGGUUGUUUAUCAAAGUUAGUUGGUCAAUUCAUGAAUCCUUCUUUGUCGUAUAGACCUCCGGUGUUCCUGGGCGUGGCCUCUGGUAGAAAAGUUUGGCCGUUCUGUUCAUUCAGAGGGGAUACGUUCAAGAGCUCUGGCCUGCUAGUUACUUACAUCCAUGUUAUAGUUUUUUCAGUGUAAAGUUAUGUACUCUUCAUGUAUAUGUUAUGUCCAAAAUUACUGUCAUUUGUAUUGUUUUAAUUUUCUAUUUGAAUACUCUUUUUAAAGUCUGUCUCCUGUCCUCAAUCUUACUGUUAAUCAGCCUGAAUGCUGUGGGAAGAGUUGUUCUCCUGCGUUGAGUGUUUGUGUGUCUGUGUGUGCACGUUGUGUAAAAAACAGACAUUCCAUGGAGUGUGUCACCUGCUUGUCCUUAUGGGUCAUGUUCUUUGGAAUUUCACUUCAUCUCAGUGUUUGUCCUUUUUCAUUCACCAAUGACAAACAUUGUUUGGGUUGCCAAACUAUUUGGAACCUUUGAAAAUAAGUCAUUGACCAUGGUCAUUUGGGGGAGUAAAUGUGGGAAUCUGUGGGUCUGGAUUCUUUUUGUAUCAGUACACCCAUUUCCCCCCUGACUCACCACCAUAGGGUAAGAAACAUAGCUUUCUGUCAACCUCAUUAUUGGACAAGCUUCAAUAAUGACACCGUUGCCAUUUAGCCUUCAUAAAUGAAUGUGGUACUGAACUUAAACAGCUGCCCCUUUCUCUCCUGACACAUUAAAGCUUUUCUGUAAUGGUAAGGGACUAUAUACCCUGCUCCAGUCAAUUGAAUAUGGAUAAUGCACACUGUUGUAAGAGUAAUAUUUAUGUCAUUAAAUAAGAUGACUUUAAUGUAGUCUUGACACUAAAAGGCACGGUCUCAGAUCACAAGUGAACUUAGUAACAAAGACAGUUUGAAAUGGUAAGUGAUAAUGACACACAGCUAUGUGAUUUGACACAGGUUACAUAUGCAUAAGUAUUUACGCAUACUCGUUCAAAUAUUGUACAUAUGACAAACUAGUUUUUCUAUACCGAGGACACUUUCAUAAAGAGGUACAUAAUGUUUAUGAUGGGGCUGGAAAUGUAAAAGAGUAUGGUUUUAUAUUCAUAGUAAAUUACUAUUUUUAGUAUUGGGGUAAAAAUAUCCAAAACACUAACUCAGAAUGGAUUUUUAUAGCAAUUUUUCAGGGGAAAUCAUGCAUCCAAUUAAUGUUUCUAUAUGUGGCGGCCACUGAAAAAAUACAUGGGGACAGAAAGUAUCUUGGUAGUGUUAGUACUUACUUUGGCUUCUCUCCGUGUAGAGAAAAACACCAUUUACCAUGCCACUCAUUCUAAGUAAAUGAAUAAUUACACUGAGUUCAUAUAGUUUCAUUGUGGUCAACAACAAAAUAAAACAGCUAAGACACAUUCAAGUGGCACAAUUCCUCCAUAGUUUUAUUCACAAAAAGCAAGAAGUUCAAAACAAAUCAAGGCCAAGCUUCAAAUCAUUGACAAAAGAGAGCAGUCAUUAUGUCAAAUAUUUCUUUUAAAACGUUUAUUGAUUAAAUUCAUGUAGGGAAAUUGAAUAGUACAUCUCUUUUCUCCAGUGUACAGCCAACCACUGCUGAUAAGUGUGUUUCAACCAUAGCACACGAGGCAUGUCAAUACAUGCACAGUUGUGAGUGUAUGUUCUAUAUACUGAAUAUAAACACAUUUUUUAUAUACACAAUGAAUAGAAAUCAUACAGUUAGAUUUGAUAUCAUUUCUCCACUGCCUGGCAUGCGUCACCCAACACCCAGAUUGUGGCACUGUCACGUGCCCCGCCCCAAUGGUCGUCUGGUUAGGGUCACAGAUUUCCCAACUCCACAUCAUGACCACCUCAGCUAUCCUCAAGCAGAGGAAUAGGUAUUCGGGGGGCCCGGAUGUGUGUAGGAGGGCUGAGGCCAGGGAUUCCAUUUCUCCAUCACUAAUGGUCCCCCAUAGCAGACCCUCAGAGAGGAACCUGUCACACCGCCCGCCUGCCACACACUCAAGCGGAACACUGGAUAGUAACACUUCAGUUGAAUGGGUAACCAGAUUGUGACAAGUCCUAGAUAAAAACCUGACACGACCAGGCAUAAACAUGUUUACAGUUCAGAAUAUUUUGCAAGCUGAAAAUCCUGGACAAUUUAUGAAUACUACAUGCAUGUCAGAUAACAUAUACAUACCCCUUCAAACAAAGUGUUUCGUGUUAAACACACUAACCAGUUUGCACCGGUACAGGGUUAGUGCACUGACUCCCAUUUCCUGUCAACACAGUCCUGGCACAAACCAAAUUCACCCUGUAAUGAUGAUAAAGAUGUCCAAUAUCAUUACAAUAACCCACAAGUGACCAAAGCUAAGGGGUUUGAAUCCAUAGCUGUGAAGAGGUGCUGAUAUGAGGGUGUUUGGUGCAUGGGAAUAGGGAGGCCUGUGGCUGAAGUGUGGUUAGAGCAGCGCUGGGCUCCCCCCCGCUGCCCGAGAGUUACCUAGGCCUUAACCCAAAACGACUACGCCCAGUGGGCCUCUAUCACAACAGUCCAACAGGGAGAGCCAAAGAACUCACUUUUCAUUCACAUCACAUAUUGGCAGUAUCAUUGUUAAAAAAAAGAAAAAAAAA